rnacentral:rRNA from 1 species
CACGGGUACUCGAGUGGCGAACGGGUGAGUAACACGUGGGUGAUCUGCCCUGCACUUCGGGAUAAGCCUGGGAAACUGGGUCUAAUACCGGAUAGGAGCCAUUUUUAGUGUGAUGGUUGGAAAGUUUUUCGGUGUAGGAUGAGCUCGCGGCCUAUCAGCUUGUUGGUGGGGUAAUGGCCUACCAAGGCGGCGACGGGUAGCCGGCCUGAGAGGGUGGACGGCCACAUUGGGACUGAGAUACGGCCCAG